AACGCUGGCGACAUGCCUUACACAUGCAAGUCGAACGGCAGCACGGGUGCUUGCACCUGGUGGCGAGUGGCGAACGGGUGAGUAAUACAUCGGAACAUGUCCUGUAGUGGGGGAUAGCCCGGCGAAAGCCGGAUUAAUACCGCAUACGAUCUACGGAUGAAAGCGGGGGACCUUCGGGCCUCACGCUAUAGGGUUGGCCGAUGGCUGAUUAGCUAGUUGGUGGGGUAAAGGCCUACCAAGGCGACGAUCAGUAGCUGGUCUGAGAGGACGACCAGUCACACUGGGACUGAGACACGGCCCAGACUCCUACGGGAGGCAGCAGUGGGGAAUUUUGGACAAUGGGCGAAAGCCUGAUCCAGCAAUGCCGCGUGUGUGAAGAAGGCCUUCGGGUUGUAAAGCACUUUUGUCCGGAAAGAAAUCCUUGGCCCUAAUACGGUCGGGGGAUGACGGUACCGGAAGAAUAAACACCGGCUAACUACGU
rnacentral:rRNA from 1 species